UAGCGGAGCGUGUGGUUUAAUUCGAUGCUAAGCGAAGAACCUUACCAGGGCUUGACAUGUAGGUGGUACGGAUCCGAAAGGUGAAGGACCCGCAAGGGAGCCUACACAGGUGCUGCAUGGUUGUCGUCAGCUCGUGCCGUGAGGUGUUGGGUUAAGUCCCGCAACGAGCGCAACCCUUGUCGCUAGUUACUCUCUCUAGCGAGACUGCCCCUAAAAGGGAGGAAGGAGGGGAUGACGUCAAAUCAUCAUGGCUCUUACGUCCUGGGCUACACACACGCUACAAUGGCCAGUACAGACGGUUGCUAAAUCGCGAGAUGGAGCCAAUCCGACAAAGCUGGUCUCAGUUGGGAUUGCAGGCUGAAACCCGCCUGCAUGAACGUGGAGUUGCUAGUAACCGCGA
rnacentral:rRNA from 1 species